rnacentral:rRNA from 1 species
CAAGUCGAACGAUACUUGGUAGCUUGCUAUCAAGGAAAGUGGCGCACGGGUGCGUAACGCGUAUGCAACCUACCUUAAUCAGGGGGAUAGCCCGAAGAAAUUCGGAUUAACACCGCAUAAAAACACAGGAUAGCAUUAUCCAAUGUUCAAAUAUUUAUAGGGUUAAGAUGGGCAUGCGUGUCAUUAGCUAGUUGGCGGGGUAACGGCCCACCAAGGCGACGAUGACUAGGGGAUCUGAGAGGAUGACCCCCCACACUGGUACUGAGACACGGACCAGACUCCUACGGGAGGCAGCAGUAAGGAAUAUUGGUCAAUGGAGGCAACUCUGAACCAGCCAUGCCGCGUGCAGGAAGACAGCCCUCUGGGUCGUAAACUGCUUUUAUUCGGGAAUAAACCUUAUUACGUGUAAUAAGCUGAAUGUACCGAAGGAAUAAGGAUCGGCUAACUCCGUGCCAGCAGCCGCGGUAAUACGGAGGAUCCAAGCGUUAUCCGGAUUUAUUGGGUUUAAAGGGUGCGUAGGCGGCCUGUUAAGUCAGGGGUGAAAGACGGUAGCUCAACUAUCGCAGUGCCCUUGAUACUGACGGGCUUGAAUACACUAGAGGUAGGCGGAAUGUGACAAGUAGCGGUGAAAUGCAUAGAUAUGUCACAGAACACCGAUUGCGAAGGCAGCUUACUAUGGUGUGAUUGACGCUGAGGCACGAAAGCGUGGGGAUCAAACAGGAUUAGAUACCCUGGUAGUCCACGCCCUAAACGAUGAAUACUCGCUGUUAGCGAUAUACAGUUAGCGGCUAAGCGAAAGCGUUAAGUAUUCCACCUGGGGAGUACGCCCGCAAGGGUGAAACUCAAAGGAAUUGACGGGGGCCCGCACAAGCGGAGGAGCAUGUGGUUUAAUUCGAUGAUACGCGAGGAACCUUACCCGGGCUUGAAAGUUAGUGAAUUAUCUAGAGAUAGAUAAGUGAGCAAUCACACGAAACUAGGUGCUGCAUGGCUGUCGUCAGCUCGUGCCGUGAGGUGUUGGGUUAAGUCCCGCAACGAGCGCAACCCCUAUGUUUAGUUGCCAGCACGUUAAGGUGGGGACUCUAAACAGACUGCCUGUGCAAACAGAGAGGAAGGAGGGGACGACGUCAAGUCAUCAUGGCCCUUACGUCCGGGGCUACACACGUGCUACAAUGGAUGGUACAGAGGGCAGCAAGCUGGCAACAGCAAGCGAAUCUCAAAAAGCCAUUCACAGUUCGGAUAGAGGUCUGCAACUCGACCUCUUGAAGUUGGAUUCGCUAGUAAUCGCGUAUCAGCAAUGACGCGGUGAAUACGUUCCCGGGCCUUGUACACACCGCCCGUCAAGCCAUGGAAGUUGGGGGUACCUAAAGUACGUAACCGCAAGGAGC